UUGAGAACAAGUUCUCAUUUACAACUGCAACCUGGCCAAGAUAAAGCAAAGCAAAGCAGUGUGACACAAACAACAACAUAGAGUUACACAUGGAAUAAACAAACAUACAGUCAAUAACACAAUAGAAAAAAGAAGGGCAAUAAAUAGGCCAUAGUAGCGAAGUAAUUACAAUUUAGCAAAUUAACACUGGAGUGAAAGAUGUGCAGAUGAAAAUGUGCAAGUAGAAAUACUGGUGAGCAAAUGAGCAAAAUAGUAAAUAAAAACAAUAUGGGGAUGAUGUAGGUAGAUUGGAUGGGCUAUUUACAGAUGAGCAGACCAGCCAUGCUUUCGUUGUGCUUUCCAUUUCCUUGCCAAAUUGUCUCAUGGUCAAGACCAUGUGUCAAAAGGAGAGAUAGUGGAUCUUGUAAAUAAAUAUUGGUGUACAGUAGGUUCUACUGUGUUUGCAAGAAAUGUUUGAUUCGCAUGACUAAUAUUGUUGAAUGCUGCAUAUCAAUAUCCCCCACGUCCCAUCUAAGGCCUGAAGGACCUUUUGAGCACUUUAUGAUGGACUUCGUUGAGUUGACCCCUCGUGAGGGGAACAAGUAUUGUUUGGUGAUUGUUGAUGUUUUAUUUUUUUCAAUUUAAAGUUUUAUUUUUCAAUCAACAAAACACAUUCCACAUUCAGUGACAGACUUAAAAAAAAUAUAUAUAUAUUUUUAAUGAUUUUAAAAAUGAAAAAUGUCACGUUCAUCAUAGUGAUGAGACCAAGGCGCAGCAUGAGUAGAGUUUAUCAUUUGAAUAAACUGAAACUCACCUAACAAAACAACAAACAAACAACUAAACGAAACGUGAAGCUACUGAUGUGCACUAAGGCAACUAUACAUAGACAAGAUCCCACAACACAAAUGAGGGAAAUGGCUACCUAAAUAUGAUCCCCAAUCAGAGACAACGAUAAACAGCUGUCUCUGAUUGGGAACCAUAUCAGGCCAAGAUAGAUAUACAAAAACCCCUAGACAUACAAAAACCCUAGACAUACAAAAACUAGAGUACCCACCCUAGUCACACCCUGACCUAACCAAAAUAUAUAGAAAAACAGGGUCAUGGUCAAAACAAGGUCAGGGCGUGACAUAGCAGCACUAUCAAGGUUCUUGUUAGCUAUUUCCAGCCUUAGCUGAGACGACGAGCAAAUAAUUUGUUUUUACAGCACCUUACACAACAUGUAUCUGCUCAUUUCCCUAAUCACCCCAUUCACUCUGUCCAAUUUGAAAUAUAGUUGCAUAGUGGAGACCAGAGUCUAUCAAACUUGGGCUGUCUCUUGCGGAGGUCAUAAGUGAGCUUUUCAAGAGGAAGAAAGUGAACAAUCUGGGUUUGACUCAUUGACCCCCAGGAGGGGUCAUGACAACACAGGUGUCACUGACCAGGUGGUCAUCCAGCUGGACGGGGUGGAGGGACUACAGGGUACGGAGACAGGAAGGGGACACCGAGAACGGACACUGCUGUCAUAUGUUUUACAUACAUCUCAUUAGGCUUUGCUUAGUCUGCUUUUUUAUGUUCAAUCAAAUGAUCAACAGUUAUUUUUUCCAGCACUAUCAUUUAGUGAGUAAGAUUCAUUUUGCUUAGCAGUUUACCAGCACAAUCAUUUAGUGAGUAAGAUGAAUUUUGCUUAGCAGUUUACCAGCACAAUCAUUUAGUGAGUAAGAUAACUUCAGUCCUCUAUAGUCUCUACUGUCCCCCUCCUGACCAUGUCUGGACCACAUUCAGUCCUCUAUAGUCUCUACUGUCCCCCUCCUAACCAGGUCUGGACCACAUUCAGUUCUCUAUAGUCUCUACUGUCCACCUCCUGACCAGGUCUGGACCACACUCAGUCCUCUAUAGUCUCUACUGUCCCCCUCCUGACCAGGUCUGGACCACACUCAGUCCUCUAUAGUCUCUACUGUCCCCCUCCUGACCAGGUCUGGACCACAUUCAGUCCUCUAUAGUCUCUACUGUCCCCCUCCUAACCAGGUCUGGACCACAUUCAGUCCUCUAUAGUCUCUACUGUCCCCCUCCUGACCAAGUCUGGACCACAUUCAGUCCUCUAUAGUCUCUACUGUCCCCCUCCUGACCAGGUCUGGACCACAUUCAGUCCUCUAUAGUCUCUACUGUCCCCCUCCUGACCAGGUCUGGACCACACUCAGUCCUCUAUAGUCUCUACUGUCCCCCUCCUGACCAGGUCUGGACCACAUUCAGUCCUCUAUAGUCUCUACUGUCCUCCUCCUGACCAGGUCUGGACCACACUCAGUCCUCUAUAGUCUCUACGGUCCCCCUCCUGACCAGGUCUGGACCACAUUCAGUCCUCUAUAGUCUCUACUGUCCCCCUCCUGACCAAGUCUGGACCACAUUCAGUCCUCUAUAGUCUCUACUGUCCCCCUCCUGACCAGGUCUGGACCACAUUCAGUCCUCUAUAGUCUCUACUGUCCCCCUCCUGACCAGGUCUGGACCACACUCAGUCCUCUAUAGUCUCUACUGUCCCCCUCCUGACCAGGUCUGGACCACAUUCAGUCCUCUAUAGUCUCUACUGUCCUCCUCCUGACCAGGUCUGGACCACACUCAGUCCUCUAUAGUCUCUACGGUCCCCCUCCUGACCAGGUCUGGACCACACUCAGUCCUCUAUAGUCUCGACUGUCCCCCUCCUGACCAGGGCCAAUAAGGCUCUUGUCAAAAGAAGUGAAACAUGCAGCUGUAGGUUUUUGAAGGAUUUUAAUGGAAGAAAACAUUUUAUCUUUGUAUGAAAAUUAGUGAUAAUUUGUAUCCACUCUGCUGCUCCCAGCCUGGGUUGUUGACAUAACAUUUUUUGUCAUUUACCAGAUGCUCUUAACCCUAAGUUGCUAUAGAUAAGUGCCUUGCUCAAGGGCACAUCGGCAGGGGCCACAGACACCUUCACUGGAGCUGACCUGAAAGCCUUGCUGUACAACACCCAGCUAGAGGCCAUCCACAGCAGCCUGGUGUUCAGCCUGCUGCAUGUGUCAUCCUACAGCCAGGGGGUGCUCUGGGGCUAAUGACAGUGGAGGAGUGACAUUUCCCACAUCAAUGUGAUGACCCACAAAUCCCGUUUUCCAAUAUGAAAUGCGAAAUGACACAUACAGUACAUUCAAUUAUAUCAAGGUAGUAGUAGUACUGAUGAGUCUAGCCAAUUUAAUCCACUCCAUGUCACCCAUGUCUCAAAUGCGCCCUUGUCUGGGCAAAGAGCUGUCCAAUUUGGGACACAGAUAUUAUUGAUAGAUUGUACAAUCACACACUAUCAUGAGGAAAGUGAACUAAAGCUGUUUGGUCCACCCCCCUCUCUCCCGGGUCCUAGAACGCCCAGGGUGUCUUGGGCCCAACUCUAAUGACUGGUGCAUCGGUCAGAGACUCUGGCUGCUCCCACCCCUACAUGUCCUUUCUACAGGACGAUACGAGGAGCUCAGCCAUGACCAGCUAGAACACUGCCGACUGGACAUCAGCAACAUUAAAAGCAACUACAAACAAGCUACUGAGGACAGUGUCCCAGUCCAGGGCCCCAUCAGGCCAGGUCUGCUCCUGUGUCAGGCCCACCUCACCACAGCUCUGGAUGCCACCAGAGCCUCCCUUAGUAGGCAUGACUGGAGGAGGUACACAGACCUGAUGAAUCCUUCAUCUGCUGGGUGUCUCUGUCAUCUCUCAUUGUCUUGAUGGAGACGUUGAUGUCGAGAGGUGACACCGGCAAGAAUAUGACAGCUAUUGAAUACUGUCUUUUCAAGAUAGUUUUGACACCAUGCUAGCUACGUUAUUCUGUUAUUCUUACUUUGUUGUUUUUUUGUAUUAUUCUUUUUAAUUUGCUGUUGACAAAGAGCUAUUCAAAUACAAAGCUAAGAUAAAUAACAAAAAGCAUCAACACAUUUCUAACUUUUUUAUGUAUGACAAAUGUUUUACUUUCUUCCACUAUGUUCCUCAAAAGCAUUUCUCUUUCCAACAUUUUCGAUUUCUGUAUUUUCGGUCCUUUGGAGCUUCAGGACAAGGUAAGCCUUAGGUCACAGUGACGUUCAAACCCGGCCAAAGAGUAACCCUCACUUAAUGACAUUAAAUACUUACAAAUC